CGUUGAAGCAGACGAAUGAGGUGCCUGGGAUAAUUACCAGUCACCUGGGAGACUUUCUAGAUAAUACUCCUCCUUCGACCUGAUCUUUUCUGUCAGGAAGUCUUUUGUUCGCAACCAAAUUGGCUCCAUCCGUUUGAACUCCGAUUCCGAAAGUAAUUACAGUGCACCUCCGAGAAUAUAAUGAAAUGGAACAAAUGAUACGCUUUGUGUUACUACAAGGGGGUUCCGAUGGUGGGGAGCGCGUCGGGGGACUUGUGCGUCCUGAUCUGCGAUGCUCCUUGAUGAACAAGCAAAUUCAGAAAGAACCAAGCGAGGACGGCGUGUUAACGAGAGUGUGUUUUAUAUGUGAAGAACGCCCAAAACAAACAAGCCUAAAACAUUGCAUUACCCUUAAACCGAGCCCCGUCCGCAUUGCUGUUCCGUGCUGCCACAAACACAGCCCGGCAAUGAUUUCUCAAAGGACACGUGCUCCCCCUUGUGGACAGUGCCGGGAAGUACAGGACAUCGCCUCCUCGGGCUAUUUCUGUGCUGUUAUAGAUAAGUUAACCUUGUGAUGAAAUGCUAAUGUAUAAUGAAUGUGGUGUUAAUUAGACAUUGCCAUUCACAGUUAAACUACGAGUAGAACCAGCAGCAAUUAACCAAGCUUGAGAGAUAAUUUAAGAAAGCGGAAAGAACCCUUAUCUGAGCGCUGAGGGUGUCCCGGUGGCAGCAUUAGUAUUCAAUCCACGCUUGUAUUUUGUAAUUGUAUUUACGUAUGCGACGUGGUUUGCUUAUUCAGAUAUGUGUCAUGUGUUGAACGCGGGCCGGCUUUCUGUUCAGGAACAGGACAUAACUGCAGAGGUCGUUUGCUGGUAAUUACGUCACAGUUACGGGUGGUUUCACUGACCCAGAUUGGCUCUAAUCUUGGUUUACCUUACCUAAAUUAACAUUGGAUAGUCCAGGACUGGUACUAAUGAUGGUCUGUGAAACCAGCCAUUUCAGUUUUAUUUUCCCUUCACGUGAAAUGAUGCUAAUGGUCUUAUAGGAUGAUGACGUCAGACCCAAUGCCUUAGUCAAUGUCUCCCGUGUUUU